GUCUGUGAAAUGACUUCCUUGGAUCGGCAGCAUAAGGCUGAGUGCCAAAAUGCAAGGCUGUCUGGAGGCAAGGACCAAGAAAUAAUUGACUGGAUAAGCACAUGAGCUCAGUGCCUUGGAAUGCAAGAUCUGGAGGAGAAGAGCAGGCAGAGUCUGCAAGGAGGGAAGAAGAGAUAAGAGGCUCUGAGCCUUGUUUUCCUGCGCCAGUGGAAAAUGGGAAGGACUUCAACUCAGGAAGGCCAAGGCAGCCGGGCCUUGGAUGGAUCAGUGGCAGUGAAUUUGAACCCUUCCAUACUGUACGUGUUGACCAACAGAGAAAAAAAACCCAUCACCACCAACCUCCAAUGUUCCAAACGUGAGUAAACACAGAAGGGACUUUUUAAUUAACUUUAAAUACUGCAUAAAUGGCAAUGAAGAGAAAUACUUGUCUGGGAGCUGAGAUCCCCGCUGGUUAUGGGCCAGCUACCAUCCGGAAAGAAGUGAGAAACAAGGAUUUCUGGCACAGCUUCCCUGCCCCAGCUGAGCACUGGCUUGGGGAGAUGCUCUGCUAAGCCGUUCAGUGUUCCACCACCAUUCUCGCCAAGAUAUCAAAGAGGUUUCGAUUAAAAAUAAUUACGUUCACUUUUAAGGACAUCCUUUAGUAACCUGACUUUUCAGCACUGGCAGAACGUGACACGUCACAGUCUGUAAAGGCAGCUGGGGACCACAUGUGAGAAGCCCAUGGAGAGAGGGGGGGUACGACUUCAUAAACAGAAACCUGAAGGGCAGAACAGCAGAGCAUCGUGCUGUGAAGGAGCACAGCUCCACACUGUGUCAGUGAAGGCAACAAAACGAUGGCACAACGCAUCUCCAAGACCUACCUUGGCUGGGUUGAGCGCCGUGAUGACCCACACGCAGUGAUGCUUUUGGACCCCUGCAAAUCGUAGCCCUCGUUGCAGGUGAACUGGAUGCUGGAGCCUAACCUAGCAGACAGAACAAAGGGGGAAGUCAGCGACUGAGGCGCUUCUGCAGCAACAGCUUUGUCUCUUGCUUUUUACUAUCCAAAUUGUGAACAGAGAGAGAUCACCGGCCCUCCAGGCAACAGUGGAAAUGAAUGAGGGGCCAGCUCUUCCUCAUUCAUUUCCUUGCGCUGGGCGCCGGUUGCCUGAGGUGGUGAGAGUCCAAGAACAGAUUUGAGUCUUUCAAUGCAACUUCAGUGGGAGUUUUGUUCAGUUCGGAGCUCACACUCAGUCCCAGGAGAUGACAGUGCUCAGCGUUCUUAUAAAGAACAAAAUCUUUAUCUACUACUGAAAGAUUUGUUCUUUGUUCUGUCGCUUUGGAUUCGGAUCCUUUGCUGCUUAAAGCAGUGCUGUCUUAUUCACCGAGGCGACACAAUGCCAGAUUCACAGCAGCUGAGAAUUUAUCCUAUGGCAUUUAGGGACUCUAUUGGGAAUACCCUUCCCUAACCCUCGUUCCCUCUCCUCCAAUAUGUUCUCUGGAUUCCAGGAGAGUCUGAUAGACGCAGGUUAAAUUGAAAGACAUUUUUAGUGAACAAAACAGCUAUUGACAGCAAAAUAAGAUUAAAUAUUGAUUCACCAUUGCUAACAACAGGCUGAUUCAUUCCAACACGCUUUAAAUGAACGCUAGCAACUACAAGGGAAUAACACCAUUAUUUUAAGCUUUAUAAGAAAACAAUUAUCCAGCACCACAUUUACUUAUUGACAAGGAACUGUACCACUGCUUCAGGAAGUCACCCGAAAUUCUCUGGGCACAGGGUUGUGCUGGGACUUGAGCUAAUUUAGAAGUGAUGCUGUUUGAGAGGACUCUUUCUGUGCUUAACUGGAGAAGGGAGCGACGACAAAUAGGGAUUGCAGCAGCGUGGCCAGGCGCCCACUUUGUGGCAAGAGAAACGUUCUCAAAGAGAGAUCAUUACAGAUCUCUGUAGUAGAUUGCACACACACAUGCACGUUUAGACACGCUCGUUCUUCUGCAUCACUGGCUUCAGCAAGCUUUUCAGACACGGCACAUUGAGAUGUGUGCAGAGGGGCUCUACAAACAGACUCUGUAAUGCCAAGGAGUACACACAAUGGUUGUAACAAAAGCUUUGCAGCAUGCAUAAACACACACAUCAAAGGUUCUUACCUAAAA